rnacentral:rRNA from 1 species
GACGAACGCUGGCGGCGUGCUUAACACAUGCAAGUCGAGCGGUAAGGCCCUUUCGGGGGUACACGAGCGGCGAACGGGUGAGUAACACGUGGGUGACCUGCCCUCAGCUCUGGGAUAAGCCUGGGAAACCGGGUCUAAUACUGGAUAUGACUCCAUGACGCAUGCUGUGGGGUGGAAAGCCUUGUGCGGCUGAGGAUGGGCCCGCGGCCUAUCAGCUUGUUGGUGGGGGA